rnacentral:tRNA from 1 species
ACUAUUUUGACAGAUUAAUGUAUUGAAUUUAGAAUUCAUUUAUGUGAUUUAAANUCACAAGUAGUNA